AUUGAACGCUGGCGGCAGGCCUAACACAUGCAAGUCGAACAGUGGCGGACGGGUGAGUAACGCGUGGGUAACCUGCCCUUAAGUAUGGGAUACCACUUGGAAACAGAUCCUAAUACCGGAUACUUAAGGAUGGACGUGCGAGGCAUUAGCGAGUUGGUAAGGUAACGGCUUACCAAGGCGAUGAUGCAUAGCCGGUUUGAGAGACUGAUCGGCCACAUUGGGACUGAGAAACGGCCCAAACUCCUACGGUAGGCAGCAGUAGGGAAUCUUCCACAAUGGACGAAAGUCUGAUGGAGCAACGCCGCGUGAGUGAAGAAGGUUUUCGGCUCGUAAAGCUCUGUUGUUGGUGAAGCGGUAAUCAACCAGAAAGUCACGGCUAACUACGUGCCAGCAGCCGCGGUAAUAC
rnacentral:rRNA from 1 species